rnacentral:rRNA from 1 species
AACGAACGCUGGCGGCAGGCUUAACACAUGCAAGUCAAGCGCCUCGCAAGAGGAGCGGCAGACGGGUGAGUAACGCGUGGGAAUCUACCGUGCCCUAAGGAAUAGCUCCGGGAAACUGGAAUUAAUACCUUAUACGCCCUUCGGGGGAAAGAUUUAUCGGGGUAUGAUGAGCCCGCGUUGGAUUAGCUAGUUGGUGGGGU